UGACUAAGAAUGCCUAACCACCUAGAAUGCAACCCAGCAGGUCUCAGGCUUAUUUUACCCAGCCCCUAUUAAAGAUGGAGUCACUUUUGUUCAAACACCUCUGACAGUAUGAAGGCAUAUAAAAGAAAGUUUCUCCAUCACUAUUCCUCGCCUUCUAACUCUAUUUAUUAUGAAGGAUACAACUCAGGAGCAGCCAAAUGAAGAGAUGCUGAGGGCAAGGCACACUCUCUGCGUGCACCACCUUCCUAGCGCCUCAUUGUGGUCACAGACAUAGAUGCUUCCACCUGGCUAGUGGAAGCAGCUAUUUAUUUGGAAAGAAAAUCCACAUUACACAAUCAAGGGAAAAAAAUUCUUUUUUCUCUCCCCAUAAUUUCCUUCUUUAUUAAUCAUACUUCACCCAAAGCUAUUUAAGAUUUUAUAAACUUAAAUUUUAUUUGAUUUUAUUUAUUUUGAGUCAGGGUUUGGCUUGUUGCCCAGGCUGGAAUGCAGUGGUGGGAUCUCAGCUCACUGCAACAUCCACCUCCCAGGCUCAAGCAAUUCUCCUGCCUGAGCCUCCUGAGUAGCUGGGACUACAGGCGCCUCCCUGCCUGGCUCAUUUUUAUAGUUUUUUGUAAAGACAGAGUUUCGCCAUGUUGCCCAGGCUAGUCUGGAACUCCUGAGCUCAAGAGAUCCACCUGCCACAACCUCCCAAAGUGCUGGGAUAAUAGGCCUGACCCACAGCACCAGCCUAAACUUAAAUUUUUUAAAUCUAUGGCUUCUUAGUGGGACCUGAAGGCUGCGUGACCAUCCUUCACAUAAACAGCUCAAUUUAGAAGCCAGAAGGAUUAGAAUGUAUUCUGAAGUACAAAAAUAGCAUAGAUCACUUAAGUGGGGUAGCAGUUGAGUAUUUAGGUCUUGGUCCAGGAAACUACAACCAAGGGAUGCCCUGGCUUACCCAUUUGGGUUACUCUGGCAUACUUCUGUAGAGAAAGAGAAAUAUCUUUUCCUCACCCAUUCUAUGAUCACAGCUGAGUCCCCUAUAACAAAAGAAGAAUUAACAAGAGAAAAGCAUACACAUUUACUUAAUAUCACUUUUGCAUAACACGGGAGCCUUCAUAAGGAAAUGAAGACUGGAAGAAAGUGGUAAAUCUUUAUAAUUUUUAAGUUUGACAAGUCGAGAAUCACGAAGACAUAUGAUUGGAUUAAAAGUAUGAUCUAAUUUAAUAAAUGGGGGUGGGGAGUAUUUAGCAAGGCCUGUUUGUUCAGAUUCUUCUCUGUGUCCCUGUGUCUUCAGAGGUAAGGAUGUUGCUUUCCUCCUGGUAGAGGAAGGGCACCUCUCAAAUGAGUGUCUUAUGACCCACUUCAGAGGAAAAUCAGAAAACCCUUCCAGGUUUUCUUACCUGCUUCAGGGGAAGAACGCAGACAGGGUGAGAAUGACUUCCUUGCUUCUGCUGUUUUCUCAAAUGCCAAGGUGCAAUAUCUUGGAGUACCAUGUCCUGAACCCCAUCAUUGCCAAAUAGAGAAUGUAAUGGUCCCUUUUUACAAAAUAAACAUAACUGAAAACCGGAUUGGGUUAGAACCUUGCCACCUGGCUUGAAUUAUUUCUUUUAUCCUUAUUUUUUAUGCAGAUAAGCUUAAGAAGUCAGACCUUAAAUGGCAUUUUUUUAAAGUUGCCUCUGGAUUUUACUUUCUUUACUGGCUCUAAAGAAGCUCCACAAUUGCCCAGAAAGAAUGGGCCAAUCCCCAGCUGUCCUUUGUUUAUAAUUCCUUCCCUCCUCCCCGUGGUCUCCUUUCCUGCAGUCCCUCCCCCAGUGGCCCAAACUUUGCUUUUGAAGGCAUCCUUGACUUCAGAGAAGUUAGACCAUGUCGCGAAUGUCUCUUCUUUCUCUAAGGCAGGCUAAUAGAGAUAAUGGGCCCUGUGGGAGAGAAGAAGCCGAAGAAAGAGAAGGGUUCCUUUGGAUACUUAAGGGAAUUAUUGACAAGGCUCAGCCGACUCAAACUCAC